GGUAUCAGAGCUAUAGGGUUUUAGUCUCCUUGUAUUCUAGCCGUCACAUCCCCGCUCGUCUGCCUCCGUUGAUUCGUCGACGGAGGCAGAGCCAUACCCAUCAGUAAUCAAUACACAUCAUGUCUCCAAGUAAUUCGCUCUGCCUCCUAGAUCAAAAUCCUCGUCUCUGAUUCUGCUGCCGCCGCCACUACUCCUUCUGCCAUCACUGCUCCUUCCAUCCACCAGUUCGUCGCACUCUCGACCCAGUUCGUCGCACUCUCGACCCAUAUCCGCUCUCCAUUCGUCCUCACUUAGAUCUACUUGUGCGCACAUUGCAAGCACCGAUUUGUUCGUGCAUCUCUGUUCGUGUCUUCGACUUCCAGAUCCGUGUUUUAUUUCAUCUUUCGCCUUCGAAUCAUACUGUUCAAGAUCAGACCGACCUGCCGCCGCCGCCCUUUACUCGUACCAGACAAUCUCUUUAGAUUGAAGACUCCCGAUCCUGAAGAGGGUGAAUCUUUGUUCAGAUCCAUGAUCCACCGCUCCGCUCCACUCACAGCCGACGACGCACAGGUUCGGCUUUGUCCGCUCUCCAUUUGUGAAGCUCGCCGUCAUGAAACGCAUCUUCUCUUUUUGCGAAGAACGCCGCAAAGUUCUCUAUCUACUCAACCUCUCAGUUCUCUUCAGUUUUCGUUCUGUUCAUCCAGAUUUCCUGUUCAGUUUGAUUCUGACUUGCUUUAGUUUAGUUCGUUCAGUUCCAUUCUGAUGACGAAACGCUCCUGCCCAAUUCAGACCACGUUUUCAUCCUGAUUUGAUUCUACUUUGCUUCAGUUUUGCUCUUUCAUUUUGCCCCCGGAGUUCUUGUUUCGUUCUUCCUAGGUUCUGUUAUAGAUCUCUAUACGAGGAUCUAUGUUUCUAUCCCAGAAGUUCUUCGUUUCGCUCUUCGUGGGUUUGUUUUAGCCUAGAAGUUCUUUGUGUGUUUGUUCUUCGGGUUUUUUAUUCUAUUCUAGAUAUAUUGUUUCUUUUCUUAGUUCUUAGCAAACUCAAGUUUGUGAUUUCAACCUUGAGUUUGAGGGAGGGUAUUAAUAUAAUUAGAUUAUUCUUAGGAGAUAUUAUUCUUAGGAGAUAUUAUUCUUAGGAGAUAUUAUUCUGGAGAUAUUAUUUGAUAUUAUUUCCUUAAGUGUAUUUCUCUAUGGUUAUAUAUAGGCUUGUAUCUCUAUUAAGUAAUUAAGGAAAUAUAGAUUGAUUCCAUAAAAUCAACAAUAA
rnacentral:lncRNA from 1 species